AUUUAACGCUGGCGGCAGGCUUAACAAAUGAAAGUCGAGCGAGCGGCGGACGGGUGAGUAAUGUCUGGGAAACUGCCUGAAGGAGGGGGAUAAAUACUGGAAACGGUAGCUAAUACCGCCUACAAUCAGAUGUGCCCCGAUGGGAUUCGCAAGUGGGGGGGGUAAUGGCUACCCUAGGCGACCAUCCCUAGCUGGUCUGAGAGGAUUACCAGCCCCACGGGAACUGAGACACGGUCCAGACUCCGACGGGAGGCAGCAGUGGGGAAUAUUGCACAAUGGGCGCACGCCGGAUGCAGCCUUGCCGCGUGUGUGAAGAAGGCCUUCGGGUUGUAAAGCACUUUCAGCGAGGAGGCGUUACUCGCAGAAGAAGCACCGGCUAACUCCGUGCCAGCCGCCGCGGUAAUUC
rnacentral:rRNA from 1 species